UUACACAUGCAAGUCGAACGGUAACGCGGGGAGAAGCUUGCUUCUCUCCGGCGACGAGUGGCGAACGGGUGAGUAAUACAUCGGAACGUGUCCGCUCGUGGGGGACAACCAGCCGAAAGGUUGGCUAAUACCGCAUGAGUUCUACGGAAGAAAGAGGGGGACCCGCAAGGGCCUCUCGCGAGCGGAGCGGCCGAUGACUGAUUAGCCGGUUGGUGAGGUAACGGCUCACCAAAGCAACGAUCAGUAGCUGGUCUGAGAGGACGACCAGCCACACUGGGACUGAGACACGGCCCAGACUCCUACGGGAGGCAGCAGUGGGGAAUUUUGGACAAUGGGCGCAAGCCUGAUCCAGCUAUUCCGCGUGUGGGAUGAAGGCCCUCGGGUUGUAAACCACUUUUGUAGAGAACGAAAAGACACCUUUUAAAAAAGGGUGUUGCUGACGGUACUCUAAGAAUAAGCACCGGCUAACUACGUGCCAGCAGCCGCGGUAAUACGUAGGGUGCGAGCGUUAAUCGGAAUUACUGGGCGUAAAGGGUGCGCAGGCGGUUGAGUAAGACAGAUGUGAAUCCCCGAGCUUAACUCGGGAAUGGCAUAUGUGACUGCUCGACUAGAGUGUGUCAGAGGGAGGUGGAUUCCACGUGUAGCAGUGAAAUGCGUAGAUAUGUGGAAGAACACCGAUGGCGAAGGCAGCCUCCUGGGACAUAAC
rnacentral:rRNA from 1 species